rnacentral:lncRNA from 1 species
GAAGAAACUCGACUCCAGGCAUAGGAGAUAAGACUGAAGAAAAGGACAGGAGGGAAGCAAGUAGACUUUAAAACUAGGCAUCUGUGACUAAACUAUUUCUGAAGACAGCACCUAUUAUUACUCUUUGAAGAAAUCGCUUGACAUAACUAAGCCAGCAAUAGCACUGAAAAACCAUCCUCAAUUUUCCUCGCUUAAAAUAGAUUGACAGCCAUUUUACCGAGACUGAGGAACAGGAGAGCUGAGCCGAAGCCUGGGGGGCUGCCGCGUCAGACGCGGCUCCGCGAGGAAACCCGUUAUGCCCGACGACGGUAGAGCUGCCCAGUGCUGCUUGGUGGUUUUUUCUGUUCAUACCCAUUACCGAUGAAUUAAUAUCAAAGGAGGUGACCCUCUCCCCUCGCCCCCGCCUCCGCCGUCCCGAUGCCACGGAUAGCCUUGCCGUCCCAGAUCUCCGCGGUGGAGGAGGAAAGCCUAUACUUUGCACGUCCUCUCAGAACAGGAAAUGAGACUGUGAAGACUUUAUUACAACUUCGGGCAGCAGAUGAGUUUCAGAGAAAAUAUCCUUAUAAACACAAAUCAGAGACCUCUGUCAGACUUGACCCAUGGUUUCUGAGUGCAAAUGAGGAUUCCCGAUUACGGGGAGAACUGCGAGGAAACUUCAAGAUGACAUCUUUAUUCUCACAUCUCCAAGAACAUGCAGAAAGAAGUUACUGCUCUUAUACUGAGGGUUCAAGUUAUCUAAAGGUUUGACCAGUACGUCAUCAACUGCCAUAGUCGCAGCAACCCUCAUAGAGCCACGGACAGAGGACCACAGUAUCCCAUUAGAGAAUAAAGAUAUGCCAUUUAGUCUAUCCAUUUUAUAAUACACAGCCUUUUAAAUACAGUUUUCUGGAUUACAUGUAUAUAAAAGAUGGGUUAGCAAAGUGCUGUUAAAUACAUGCAUUUAAAGACUUCAAUUAAAAGAUAACAAUGCAUUUUUCUCAGCAUAUUAUUUCUUUUAAGAAGCCUCUAGAAUACUCAAUAGGUUCCCUGAAACAGAAAAAAAACAAAAACAAAAACAAACAAACAAAAAAACGCAACCCUGGAUAUUAUAAUGCAUUGUGAAUAUCCUUUUCAACCCACUACCAAAAGCUACUAUGAAUGUAAAUUUCUGUUUAGCCUAAAUGCAUACCAAGUUCUAUAUUGAUGGAAUCCAAAUGAAUGAGAUUUUAUUAUAGAUGAAAUAUAAAUACUGGAUUAUCUGACACCACACACACAAAAUCAACUCAAAAUAGAUUGAAAUGUAAGAGCCAAGACUGUAAAACUCCUAGAAGAAAACACCGAGGAAAGGCUUCUUGACAUUGGUCUCAGCAAUGAUGUCAUGGAUAUGACACCAAAAGCACAGGCAACAAAAAGAAAAAUAAACAAGUGGGACUGCAUCAGACUAAUACACUUCUGCACAGCAAAGAAAUCAAUCAACAGAGUAAAAAGGCAACUUAUAGAAUGGGAGAAAAUAUUUGCAAACCAUAUGCCUGAUAAGAGGUUAAUCUCCAAAAUAUAUAAGCAACUCCUACAACUGAAUAGUUAAAAAAAAAAACCUAAUAACCCAAUUACAAAAUGGACUAAGAACUUGAAUAGACAUUUCUCCAAAGACAGCAUAUAAAUGACCAAUGAAAAAAAAAUGCUCAAUGUCACUAACCAUCAGGGAAAUGCAAAUCAAAACCAUGAGUUAUCACCUCAUACCUGUCAGGAUGGCU